rnacentral:rRNA from 1 species
GCGAAGACACUGCCGGGGGGGGCGGUAAGAAGAAGGGGGCGGGGGUUAAUCGGAAUUACUGGGGGUCAAGGGUGAGCAGGGGGGUUAGUAAGACAGAGGUGAAAUGCCCGGGCUUAACCUGGGAACUGCGUUUGUGACUGUGUGACUAGAGGACGGUAGAGGGGGGUGGAAUUCCUGGUGUAGCAGUGAAAUGCGUAGAUAUCAGGAGGAACAUCGAUGGCGAAGGCAGCCCCCUGGACCUGUACUGACGCUCAUGCACGAAAGCGUGGGGAGCAAACAGGAUUAGAUACCCCAGUAGUC